AUUGAACGCUGGCGGCAGGCCUAACACAUGCAAGUCGAACGAGUGGCGGACGGGUGAGUAAUGUAUGGGAAACUGCCUGAUGGAGGGGGAUAACUACUGGAAACGGUAGAUAAUACCGCAUACUAUCAGAUGAGCCCAGAGGGGAUUAGCUUGUUGGUGGGGUAACGGCUCACCAAGGCGACGAGCCCUAGCUGGUCUGAGAGGAUGACCAGCCACACUGGGACUGAGACACGGUCCAGACUCCUACGGGAGGCAGCAGUGGGGAAUAUUGCACAAUGGGCGCAAGCCUGAUGCAGCCAUGCCGCGUGUAUGAAGAAGGCCUUCGGGUUGUAAAGUACUUUCAGCGGGGAGGCGUUACCCGCAGAAGAAGCACCGGCUAACUCCGUGCCAGCAGCCGCGGUAAUAC
rnacentral:rRNA from 1 species